AACGAACGCUGGCGGCAUGCCUAACACAUGCAAGUCGAACGAGACCUUCGGGUCUAGUGGCGCACGGGUGCGUAACGCGUGGGAACCUGCCCUUAGGUUCGGAAUAACUCCCCGAAAGGGGUGCUAAUACCGGAUAAUGUCUUCGGACCAAAGAUUUAUCGCCUUUGGAUGGGCCCGCGUUGGAUUAGAUUGUUGGUAGGGUAAAAGCCUACCAAGGCGACGAUCCAUAGCUGGUAUGAGAGGAUGAUCAGCCACACUGGGACUGAGACACGGCCCAGACUCCUACGGGAGGCAGCAGUGGGGAAUAGUGGACAAUGGGCGAAAGCCUGAUCCAGCAAUGCCGGGUGAGUGAUGAAGGCCGUAGGGUUGUAAAGCUCUUUUACCCGGGAUGAUAAUGACAGUACCGGGAGAAUAAGCUCCGGCUAACUCCGUG
rnacentral:rRNA from 1 species